rfam:Gasterosteus aculeatus cont1.010272, whole genome shotgun sequence.
CAAACGGCUCUUUUAAGAGCCACACACACGAUAUCAUAAAAAGAC